CUCAUUAAAUCAGUUAUAGUUUAUUUGAUAGUACCUUACUACAUGGAUACCUGUGGUAAUUCUAGAGCUAAUACAUGCUAAAAACCCCGACUUCGGAAGGGGUGUGUUUAUUAGAUACAAAACCAAUGCCCUUCGGGGCUCUCUGGUGAUUCAUAAUAACCUCUCGAAUCGCACGGCCUUGCGCCGGCGAUGGUUCAUUCAAAUUUCUGCCCUAUCAACUUUCGACGGCUGGGUCUUGGCCAGCCAUGGUGACAACGGGUAACGGAGGGUUAGGGCUCGACCCCGGAGAAGGAGCCUGAGAAACGGCUACUACAUCCAAGGAAGGCAGCAGGCGCGCAAAUUACCCAAUCCCGAUUCGGGGAGGUAGUGACAAUAAAUACUGAUACAGGGCUCUUUUGGGUCUUGUAAUCGGAAUGAGUACAAUUUAAAUCCCUUAAC
rnacentral:rRNA from 1 species